rnacentral:rRNA from 1 species
UACGUAGGGGGCUAGCGUUGUCCGGAAUCAUUGGGCGUAAAGAGCGUGUAGGCGGUCCGGUAAGUCCGCUGUGAAAGUCGGGGGCUCAACCCUCGAAUGCCGGUGGAUACUGUCGGGCUAGAGUGCGGAAGAGGCGAGUGGAAUUCCUGGUGUAGCGGUGAAAUGCGCAGAUAUCAGGAGGAACACCAAUGGCGAAGGCAGCUCACUGGGACGUUACUGACGCUGAGACGCGAAAGCGUGGGGAGCAAACAGG